CGGGGUGUAGCGCAGCCUGGUAGCGCACCUGAAUGGGGUUCAGGUGGUCGCAAGUUCGAAUCUUGUCACCCCGACCA
rnacentral:tRNA from 1 species